rnacentral:lncRNA from 1 species
AGCUAGCUUUUGGGGUUGAGUUAGGCCCAAGCUCCAUUCUUUUCAUGUGAGAAAAUACGGGAGAAAAAUAUAUAAUUGAUAUAAACAUGAUACAAUGAGCUCCAUAUAUAUAUAUACAUAUAACCUAUCCUACUCCUAAUACACAUUGGAUUAUGGUUCUACUAUUUUACAUAUUCUAACACCCCCCUCAAGCUGAUGCAUAUAAAUCAUAUGUACCGAGCUUGUUACAUAUGUAGUUAAUACGAGGACCAGUGAGAGACUUGGUGAAAAUGUCUGCAAGCUGAUCAUUUGA